rnacentral:rRNA from 1 species
GGUGAAUGCUGGCGGCGUGGAUAAGUCAUGCAAGUCGAACGCCCCGCAAGGGGAGCGGCAGACGGGUGAGUAACGCGUGGGAAUCUACCCAACUCUACGGAAUAACUCAGGGAAACUUGUGCUAAUACCGUAUACGCCCUUCGGGGGAAAGGUUUAUCGGAGGUGGAUGAGCCCGCGUUGGAUUAGCUAGUUGGUGGGGUAAAGGCCUACCAAGGCGACGAUCCAUAGCUGGUCUGAGAGGAUGAUCAGCCACACUGGGACUGAGACACGGCCCAGACUCCUACGGGAGGCAGCAGUGGGGAAUAUUGGACAAUGGGCGAAAGCCUGAUCCAGCCAUGCCGCGUGAGUGAUGAAGGCCCUAGGGUUGUAAAGCUCUUUCACCGGUGAAGAUAAUGACGGUAACCGGAGAAGAAGCCCCGGCUAACUUCGUGCCAGCCGCCGCAGUAA